GAUCCUUAGCUGCUGGGUUCAGUUUUACAGGGAAACCCUCUAAAAGGGCCUGACUCUUGCUGAGUUCGCUGGAUUCCCGACUUGAGACAGGACCAGAUAGGCUGGACCGAAGGGAAGGGAAGAGGCUGUAGGGACGUAGUUGUCGUCAUCAUCGUGGUCAGUGCGGCCUGAAUUUAUUUCCCACAAAGCCUGUUUUCAGGGUUUGCUGCAGUGGACUUCAACCCUCCCUAAGAAACAUAAGCCAUCCAAAGGAACCUCAAACUCUGAAGGGAGUGGAGCUUCAUAGCCUGAAGGUCUGAAGUCUGGGCUCAUCCUCAGCUACUUCAGUUAUGAUUCCUGAACCAGACCCUAGGAACAGAAUUUUGAACUUCAAGCCAGAAGCAGAAUCCACAUUGCAGUAAGACCCAAGUGGUCUGUCUUCACCCUGCAGCCCAAGAAACACUAGCCUAGAACAUCCCAAGACCUUCUACUCAUUGCAGUAGAACCUUUUGAGUCUGUGGGGCCUCUUGGAGCACCUCAGCUCUUGCAUUCACACUCCCCAGCCUUCCUGCACUGCCCCUACCCCAGGAUCACUUUCUGAGCACACAGCACCAACCAGUGCUAGAGAUGGAAAACUGUUAACUGAGACAGGUGAAUGGAAGCAAGGAAAGUCAGAACAUGGAUCUCCAGUCUGAGCCUCGGUGACUUCAUGGAUAGAAAGGGAAGUGAGACCAUCCCUACGGACUUGCUGGCAUGUGGCAAGCACACAUCAGAUCUUCA
rnacentral:lncRNA from 1 species